ACGGAGGGUGCAAGCGUUAAUCGGAAUUACUGGGCGUAAAGCGCACGUAGGCUGUAGUGUAAGUCAGGGGUGAAAUCCCACGGCUCAACAGUGGAACUGCCUUUGAUACUGCACAACUUGAAUCCGUGAGAGGGUGGCGGAAUUCAACGUGUAGGAGUGAAAUCCGUAGAUAUCUGGAGGAACAGCAGUGGCGAAGGCGGCCACCUGGACCGGUAUUGACGCUGAGAUGCUAAAGCGUGGGGAUCAAACAG
rnacentral:rRNA from 1 species